rnacentral:rRNA from 1 species
CGGAGGGUCCGAGCGUUAUCCGGAAUCAUUGGGUUUAAAGGGUGCGCAGGCGGUAAAGUAAGUCAGUGGUGAAAUCCCUUCGCUCAACGAAGGAACUGCCAUUGAUACUGCUAUACUUGAAUAUAGUCGAAGUGGGCGGAAUGUGACAUGUAGCGGUGAAAUGCUUAGAUAUGUCACAGAACACCGAUAGCGAAGGCAGCUCACUAGACUAACAUUGACGCUCAUGCACGAAAGCGUGGGGAGCGAACAGGAUUAGAUACCCUGGUAGUCCACGCUGUAAACUAUGAUUACUCGAUAUUGGCGAUAUACGGUCAGUGUCUAAGCGAAAGUGAUAAGUAAUCCACCUGGGGAGUACGGUCGCAAGAUUG